rnacentral:tRNA from 1 species
GACUUUUUAAGUUAUGUUAGACUAUUUAUUUUCAAAAUAAAAAGAAAUUUUAUUAGAUUAAAAGUUG